GAUGAACGCUAGCGGCAGGCCUAACACAUGCAAGUCGAGGGGCAUCGCGGUGCAGCAAUGCACUGGCGGCGACCGGCGUACGGGUGCGUAACGCGUAUGCAACCUGCCCCGCACCGGGGGAUAGCCCGCCGAAAGGCGGAUUAAUACCCCAUGGCCCCGGGGGCCCGCAUGGGCAUCCGGGUAAAGCCUUGGCGGUGCGGGAUGGGCAUGCGUGCCAUUAGCUGGCUGGUGGGGUAACGGCCCACCAGGGCAACGAUGGCUAGGGGGUCUGAGAGGAUGGUCCCCCACACUGGUACUGAGACACGGACCAGACUCCUACGGGAGGCAGCAGUGAGGAAUAUUGGUCAAUGGGCGGAAGCCUGAACCAGCCAUGCCGCGUGCGGGAUGAAGGCCCUACGGGUUGUAAAGCUCUUUCAGACGGAAAGAAAACGCAUCGGUGAAUACCCGGUGUGGAUGACGGUACCGUAAGAAGAAGCACCGGCUAACUACGUGCCAGCAGCCGCGGU
rnacentral:rRNA from 1 species